AACGCGAAGAACCUUACCUACUCUUGACAUCCAGAGAACUUAGCAGAGAUGCUUUGGUGCCUUCGGGAACUCUGAGACAGGUGCUGCAUGGCUGUCGUCAGCUCGUGUUGUGAAAUGUUGGGUUAAGUCCCGCAACGAGCGCAACCCUUAUCCUUUGUUGCCAGCGGUUCGGCCGGGAACUCAAAGGAGACUGCCAGUGAUAAACUGGAGGAAGGUGGGGAUGACGUCAAGUCAUCAUGGCCCUUACGAGUAGGGCUACACACGUGCUACAAUGGCAUAUACAAAGAGAAGCGACCUCGCGAGAGCAAGCGGACCUCAUAAAGUAUGUCGUAGUCCGGAUUGGAGUCUGCAACUUGACUCCAUGAAGUCGGAAUCGCUAGUAAUCGUAGAUCAGAAUGCUACGGUGAAUACGUCCCCGGGUCUUGUACACACCG
rnacentral:rRNA from 1 species